rnacentral:rRNA from 1 species
UACGUAGGGUGCAUGCGUUAAUCGGAAUUACUGGGCGUAAAGCGUGCGCAGGCGGUUUGCUAAGACAGGUGUGAAAUCCCCGGGCUUAACCUGGGAACUGCGCUUGUAACUGGCAAGCUGGAGUGUGGCAGAGGGGGGUGGAAUUCCACGUGUAGCAGUGAAAUGCGUAGAGAUGUGGAGGAACACCGAUGGCGAAGGCAGCCCCCUGGGCUAACACUGACGCUCAUGCACGAAAGCGUGGGGAGCAAACAGG